rnacentral:lncRNA from 1 species
GAAAAAAAUAAGUGGGCAUUAUUGUGUAAUGAUGCGGAUAUAAAUGAGGUUAUUCUCACGACUGAUUCUUCUUCUUUGGACUUGUAUAUUGACUGUGAUGUUGAUAGCAGUGUCAAGCCGGUGAAGCAAAUGCAACCUCAUGUUAUUGUAAGGCCAAAAACAUGCCCUGUUAAGGCUAUGCAGAGGAUUCCUAAAAAGCGUCAAUUUGUGACUAUAAAGGAAAUCAAUCAGGAGAAGGAACGAAGGUUGAACAAGUCUCGGAAGGAAAAACAAAUAAGUUCUACUUCUGUAAUUCCAACAAAAAAGGCUGGUGAAGAUUUGAAGUCAACAGAGCGGGAAGAUGCAAUUUCAAC